rnacentral:tRNA from 1 species
GCCUGGGUGGCUCAGUCGGUUGAGCGUCCGACUUCGGCUCAGGUCAUGAUCUCAUGGUUUGUGAGUUCGAGCCCCGCAUCGGGCU